rnacentral:rRNA from 1 species
CGUAAAGAGUGGCUCGCGCCGCGAUAGUGAAGUUGGUAACGCUCACUGCGAUGCGUACGUUGAGACAGCUGGACGGAUUCGACAGAUCACCUUACGGGCAGCAGGCGGACCUACCUGCAGACAGUGCGAUAGGGGACUCCGAGGUUGAGGCAUAUAAGCCCUGCUUUCGUACGUAGUGUACAGACAGGACUGGCAAGACGUGCAGCGCGCGUAAUACGCAGUCAAGUGAUGCCGAUAUAUUGGGCUAAAGCGUCCGUAGCUUGCUGUGUAAGUCCAUUGGGAAAUCGACCAGCUCAACUGGUCGGCGUCCGGUGGAAACUACACAGCUUGGGGCCGAGAGACUCAACGGGUACGUCCGGGGUAGGAGUGAAAUCCUGUAAUCCUGGACGGACCACCAAUGGGGAAACCACGUUGAGAGACCGGACCCGACAGUGAGGGACGAAAGCCAGGGUCUCGAACCGGAUUAGAUACCCGGGUAGUCCUGGCUGUAAACAAUGCUCGCUAGGUAUGUCACGCGCCAUGAGCACGUGAUGUGCCGUAGUGAAGACGAUAAGCGAGCCGCCUGGGAAGUACGUCCGCAAGGAUGAAACUUAAAGGAAUUGGCGGGGGAGCACCACAACCGGAGGAGCCUGCGGUUUAAUUGGACUCAACGCCGGACAUCUCACCGGUCCCGACAGUAGUAAUGACGGUCAGGUUGACGACUUUACCCGACGCUACUGAGAGGAGGUGCAUGGCCGCCGUCAGCUCGUACCGUGAGGCGUCCUGUUAAGUCAGGCAACGAGCGAGACCCGCACUUCUAGUUGCCAGCAACACCCCUGCGGUGGUUGGGUACACUAGGAGGACUGCCGCUGCUAAAGCGGAGGAAGGAACGGGCAACGGUAGGUCAGUAUGCCCCGAAUGGACCGGGCAACACGCGGGCUACAAUGGCUAUGACAGUGGGAUGCAACGCCGAGAGGCGACGCUAAUCUCCAAACGUAGUCGUAGUUCGGAUUGCGGGCUGAAACCCGCCCGCAUGAAGCUGGAUUCGGUAGUAAUCGCGUGUCAGAAGCGCGCGGUGAAUACGUCCCUGCUCCUUGCACACACCGCCCGUCAAAGCACCCGAGUGGGGUCCGGAUGAGGCCGUCAUGCGACGGUCGAAUCUGGGCUCCGCAAGGGGGCUUAAGUCGUAACAAGGUAGCCGUAGAGGAAUCUGCGGCUUGGA